AUAGGGGAGCCGGAGGGAAACCGAGUCUUAAUUGGGCGUUAAGUUGCAGGGUAUAGACCCGAAACCCGGUGAUCUAGCCAUGGGCAGGUUGAAGGUUGGGUAACACUAACUGGAGGACCGAACCGACUAAUGUUGAAAAAUUAGCGGAUGACCUGUGGCUGGGGGUGAAAGGCCAAUCAAACCGGGAGAUAGCUGGUUCUCCCCGAAAGCUAUUUAGGUAGCGCCUCGUGAAUUCAUCUCCGGGGGUAGAGCACUGUUUCGGCUAGGGGGCCAUCCCGGCUUACCAACCCGAUGCAAACUGCGAAUACCGGAGAAUGUUAUCACGGGAGACACACGGCGGGUGCUAACGUCCGUCGUGAAGAGGGAAACAACCCAGACCGCCAGCUAAGGUCCCAAAGUCAUGGUUAAGUGGGAAACGAUGUGGGAAGGCCCAGACAGCCAGGAUGUUGGCUUAGAAGCAGCCAUCAUUUAAAGAAAGCGUAAUAGCUCACUGGUCGAGUCGGCCUGCGCGGAAGAUGUAACGGGGCUAAACCAUGCACCGAAGCUGCGGCAGCGACGCUGAUGCGUUGUUGGGUAGGGGAGCGUUCUGUAAGCCUGCGAAGGUGGCCUGUGAGGGUUGCUGGAGGUAUCAGAAGUGCGAAUGCUGACAUAAGUAACGAUAAAGCGGGUGAAAAGCCCGCUCGCCGGAAGACCAAGGGUUCCUGUCCAACGUUAAUCGGGGCAGGGUGAGUCGACCCCUAAGGCGAGGCCGAAAGGCGUAGUCGAUGGGAAACGGGUUAAUAUUCCCGUACUUGGUGUUACUGCGAAGGGGGGACGGAGAAGGCUAUGUUGGCCGGGCGACGGUUGUCCCGGUUUAAGCGUGUAGGUGUGUGUUCCAGGUAAAUCCGGUUCACUUUAACACUGAGGCGUGAUGACGAGGCACUACGGUGCUGAAGCAACAAAUGCCCUGCUUCCAGGAAAAGCCUCUAAGCAUCAGGUAACAUCAAAUCGUACCCCAAACCGACACAGGUGGUCAGGUAGAGAAUACCAAGGCGCUUGAGAGAACUCGGGUGAAGGAACUAGGCAAAAUGGUGCCGUAACUUCGGGAGAAGGCACG
rnacentral:rRNA from 1 species